UUAUAAUGAUGUUGAGAAAUGUCUGACCUGAAAACAGUAUGUGGACUACUUUAUUACUGAAAGA
rfam:Chelonia mydas contig196742, whole genome shotgun sequence.